rnacentral:lncRNA from 1 species
UUCCUUUAUGUAUCUGUUCUGCAUUCCUCAGAUCCUCAGAUUUGUCCGCCUUGCCUCACCCUCUAAACGGGCACCUGAUGAUGGAAUGACUCCGCUGGAUUUGUCUUUCCAGCAAUUAGAACGAAUCUCAUGAUAGGUAAGAAGACUGGUGGUGCUGCUGGAAUAAAAGGAGUGAUGGAAGACAGGUGAGGGUGUGAGGAGAAAAGAUUUGGUGAAUCACAGUUAUGUUUCCUGGCAUUAAAUCACCCUUGAAUAUUUCUAUAAUAAAUACAACAAGGAAGUUCUGGCAGAUGAAUGGAAGCUAAGCUCUCCUGGAUGGAGAGUGUUAGAAGAGACACUGGAAACUCAGUCCCAAGAUGCUCAGUUUAGUGUUCCUAUUGUUACAACCUGUGACUUCACACAGAAUGAGUGAACAAUGAACAUCUCAGCAAUUGAUAAAAUGAUCCUUCACCAGCCAGGACCUUUUAAAAGAAUUGUCUUAUAACUUCAUCUUAAAGAGCAUCUUCUGACAUUUGUUUGCUGAAACAUACAUUACACUUCUGCUAUCUCAUUCCUUUUCCACAUAUGCUUCCUAAGCCUGGCUUUAUAUUAAAAUAUGAAAGUUACUGGGAAAAAUAAUUCCACUUUCAAGCUGUAGGCCUUUUCCUACAGCUCAAAAUUAUCACAUUUAUUUGAAAGACGUUUCUUUAAAACAUCUGGAAGAUACACCAAAGUGAUAAGCUGGAGAGAAGAAAUCCUUUGCUCCAGGAAUACAUUCUUAAAUAUAAUGCUGAAGAACAUAAUACAAACAGGAAAAUGAAAAUCACCCAUAAUCCCAUCACUGUGAAACUGUAUUUCCUGCAUGAUAUAUAUUUAUUUUUCUAAAUCAAACCACAUUUGGCAUAGGACCCAACCCCCUAGGAAAUCCAACUUAAGUCAUUUUUUUAUUUCCUCUCCUUUAUGAUCUUAAGUUCUAUGGUUCCUUUAAGAACCAUAGAACUUACACAAUCCAAAAAACUUUGGAAGAAGGAUCUUCCAAAUUGUCCUUCAGUCAAGUGUAGUCUCCAUUACAAUGAUCAUGGUCAACUCAAACGCAUGUUCCUGUUGUCCCUUCAGUCAUGUAGACCCAUUGCUGUUGCUCAAGGCCAGUUUAAAUCAUCUUUGAAAGCAUACUUUUUAUAUGUGUAUAAUGUUCCAUCCAAUGGUUAUGUCAUAAUUUCUUUAUUCCUCUAAUUUGACAUUUAGAUUCUUUCAAGAAUUUUUGUUAUUACUUGUAAGCUAUAAAACACUACAGAUACACACAAAUCUUUGGCCACAUCUCUAUUUUAUAAGGAUAAGUUUUUAGCAAUGAGAUUCCUGUAUUAAGUACAGAUAGCUUUAAGGAUCUUUAUUCUAACUUAAAAAUUACUUUUCAAAAAUGUUAAUGUAUUAAUAACUUAGUUUUUACAAAUAUUUGUUGCAGAUUUUCUUGUCUGUUUCAUGUUUAUUGAAAUGAAUAGCUUUAAUUUUUAUGCAGUCAAAUUUAUGCAUAUUUUUCUUUGUAGUUUUUUUCCUCUGUUUUAUGGUUAGAAGUCCCUUCUGUAUCUGGAAAUCUAAUAUUAUUUUAAUUUUUUAACACAUUAAUCAAACAAAAAUGCAUUUGCUACAAAGAAUGAGCUUAGAACCUCUUUCCCCCCCCACCACCCCAAAUAGUUAAUCAAUUCCCAUCACCAUUUCCUUUGCCCAGUAACGUAUACUUUUUUAUAUGGUGGAGCCCAAAUAUCCCUAUGUGAAGAUGAGCAUUUGGGUCAAAUGAGUAAGGAACUUCCCUCUGGGAAAAAUUUAAAGGGGGCACAAAAAAAACCUUCAGUAAUCAACAUAAAUAAUAUUACAAUACAAUAUUUGAAAAAUCAAAACUAAUGCAAAAAUUUCAGAUAAGCAAUACAUUAAAAUUUUAAGAAAAUUCAGAAUCAAGUCCUGUAGCCUUCUGGUGUCAUUCUUUAAAAUCAAAUCUGUACAAAGUAACAUGAGUGCUAGCAGUCUCCCUAAUAUUUCCAGGGAUACCUGUAGGACUUACGUUCCUCAGAGUACUUACAUCUCAUGCCAAACCCUUGCUCAACUGUCAAACACUUGUGACCAUCACAUCACCACUCUGAACAGCUUCAUUCUUAGCAGGGACACAGUCCCUUUGUCUUUAUUUCCCAAGGCACUGCUAACGCAAGGCUGUUAACACUUAAAUUUUUACUGAAAGUUUGGAGGUAAUUGAGGGAGAGUACAACACAGACAGGGAAACACCCCAAGAUUCAUUGUGAAACAUCACUGCAUCUAAGAUUCUUCACUGGUCAACCCCCAGAUCAUGGUCACAGUGAUUCCUCCUUAGAUUGGCCAGAUGCUAGGCUGAUUUCUUCAUACUGAUUUGUCUUCCCCAUCACGUCUUUCCUGAGCUCAACAAUUGUCAGCCUUCCUUCCCCGUCCUUUCUUUUUUCAGUUCAGGUUAUCACAGAAACACCAAAAAUCCUUAUUUCUUUACUGUGUAAAGUAAGCUCCUAGAGUAUUGGCCUUUGUGUCAGAUAGCGCUAGUUUUUUCUUCAUCUCUUUCCCCUGGCCCUUAGCACUUCAGAGCUUGCCGGUCUGACUUCCAACUAACAGCACCUCCAUUUACUUACCUGAGGCUUUAUCUGGCCACCAAAUUUUGUUUUAUCUACAGGAGCAGCAGGUU